UACGGGGGGGGCAAGCGUUGUUCGGAAUUACUGGGCGUAAAGGGUUCGUAGGUGGCUCGCUAAGUCAGACGUGAAAUCCCGCGGCUCAACCGCGGAACGGCCUCGGAUACUGUCGGCCUCGAGGGGGGUAGGGGCAUCUGGAACUGUCGGUGGAGCGGUGAAAUGCGUUGAUAUCGACAGGAACUCCGGUGGCGAAGGCGAGGUGCUGGACCCCUUCUGACGCUGAGGCGCGAAAGCCAGGGGAGCGAACGGG
rnacentral:rRNA from 1 species